rnacentral:rRNA from 1 species
CCUACGGGAGGCAGCAGUGAGGAAUAUUGGUCAAUGGGCGGGAGCCUGAACCAGCCAAGCCGCGUGAGGGAAGACGGUCCUAUGGAUUGUAAACCUCUUUUGUCGGGGAGCAAAGAGAUCACGUGUGGUCAAAAGCGAGAGUACCCGAAGAAAAAGCAUUGGCUAACUCCGUGCCAGCAGCCGCGGUAAUACGGAGGAUGCGAGCGUUAUCCGGAUUUAUUGGGUUUAAAGGGUGCGUAGGCGGGACGGUAAGUCAGCGGUAAAAAUGCGGAGCUCGACUCCGUCGAGCCGUUGAAACUGCCGUU